rnacentral:rRNA from 1 species
AAACUUUUAACAAUGGAUCUCUUGGCUCUCGCAUCGAUGAAGAACGCAGCAAAAUGCGAUAGGUAAUAUGAAUUGCAGAAUUCCGUGAAUCAUCAAAUUUUUGAACGCAAAUUGCACUUCUUGGUAUUCCGAGGAGUACACAUGCUUGAGGGUCAGUU